GAUGAACGCUGGCGGCGUGCCUAAUACAUGCAAGUCGAGCGAACAGGCGCGGCGCUUGCUCCUCUGACGUUAGCGGCGGACGGGUGAGUAACACGUGGAUCACCUACCUGUCAGACUGGGAUCACUUCGAGACACGGGCGAUAAUACCGGAUAAUCUCUUGAACCGCGUGGUUCGAUAGUGAAAUUCGGUUUUUGUGUCUGUUCUAGCUGGAUACGCGCCGCAUUGGCUGGUUGGUGAGGUAAAAGCUUACCACGGGAACGAUGCGUGACCGACCUCAGAGGCUGAUAGCCGACCCGGGAGCGUGGCCACGCUCCAGGCUCCUAAGGGAGGCAGCAGUAGGCAACCUUCCGCAGUGGGGGAGAGCCUUACGGAGCAACGCCGCGUGAGUGACGAAGGUCUCCGGAUCGUGAAACUCUGUUACUAGGUAAGAACAAAUUUGUAAUUAGCUGUGCACGUCGUGACGGUACCUAAUCAGAAAGCACCGGCUAACUACGUG
rnacentral:rRNA from 1 species